rnacentral:rRNA from 1 species
UAAACUGGGAUUAGAUACCCCACUAUGCCCAGCCCUAAACUUAGAUAGCAAAAUACCACCUAUCCGCCAGAGAACUACAAGCAAAAUACUUAAAACUCAAAGGACUUGGCGGCAUUCCAUAUCAACCUAGAGGAGCCCGUCCAAUAAUCGAUAAUACGCGCUCAACCCAACCAUUUUUGGCCACUCCAGCCUAUAUACCGCCGUCGUCAGCUAACCUUAUGAAAGAAAAGAAGUAAGCACAAUAGCCCUCGCUAAAACGUCAGGUCAAGGUGUAGCUAAUAAAAUGGAUGUGAUAGGCUACAUUUUCUAUUAUAGAAAAUAACGGAAAAUACAAUGAAACCUUGUAAUAGAAGGUGAAUUUAGAAGUAAAUUAAGAAAGUAUCCUUAUUUUAACCUCGCUCUGGAAUGCGCACACACCGCCGUCACCC